rnacentral:rRNA from 1 species
UUUUUAGCGAGCUACGCGUUAGUUCUCCGCCUGGGGAGUACGGCCGCAAGGUUAAAACUCAAAGAAAUUGACGGGGGCCCGCACAAGCGGUGGAGCAUGUGGUUUAAUUCGAUGCAACGCGAAAAACCUUACCUACCCUUGACAUCCUCGGAACUUGUCAGAGAUGACAAGGUGCCCUUUGGGAGCCGAGUGACAGGUGCUGCAUGGCUGUCGUCAGCUCGUGUCGUGAGAUGUUGGGUUAAGUCCCGUAACGAGCGCAACCCUCGUCCUUAGUUGCCAGCGGUUCGGCCGGGAACUCUAAGGAGACUGCCGGUGAUAAACUGGAGGAAGGUGGGGAUGAUGUCAAGUCAUCAUGGCCCUUACGGGUAGGGCUACACACGUGCUACAAUGGGCAAUACAAAGGGUUGCCAAACCGUGAGGUGGAGCUAAUCCCAGAAAAUUGCUCGUAGUCCGGAUUGAAGUCUGCAACUCGACUUCAUGAAGUUGGAAUCGCUAGUAAUCGCGAAUCAGAAUGUCGCGGUGAAUACGUUCUCGGGCCUUGUACACACCGCCCGUCACACCAUGGAAGUGAAUUGUACCAGAAGGGGGUAGGCACUCUCCCCA